rnacentral:sRNA from 1 species
AGUUCCUAUUUCAGACGGAAGUUCUCCGCUGAAACGUUGGCUUAGCGGACAAUCGCACAAGUCGACCAACUGCAGCGCUCCUUUUCAAUC